rnacentral:rRNA from 1 species
CAGUAGCCACGGUAAUACGUAGGUGGCAAGCGUUGUCCGGAAUUAUUGGGCGUAAAGGGCUCGCAGGCAGUUUCUUAAGUCUGAUGUGAAAGCCCCCGGCUCAACCGGGGAGGGUCAUUGGAAACUGGGAAACUUGAGUGCAGAAGAGGAGAGUGGAAUUCCACGUGUAGCGGUGAAAUGCGUAGAGAUGUGGAGGAACACCAGUGGCGAAGGCGACUCUCUGGUCUGUAACUGACGCUGAGGAGCGAAAGCGUGGGGAGCGAACAGGAUUAGAUACCCCGGUAGUCCCUGUCUCUUAUAC